rnacentral:rRNA from 1 species
UACAGAGGGUGCGAGCGUUGUCCGGAAUCACUGGGCGUAAAGGGCGCGUAGGUGGCGCUCCAAGUCCAUGGUGAAAGCUCGAUGCUCAACAUCGAGUCGGCCACGGAUACUGGAGGGCUGGAGCACUGUAGGGGCAGAUGGAAUUCCGGGUGUAGCGGUGGAAUGCGUAGAGAUCCGGAAGAACACCGGUGGCGAAGGCGGUCUGCUGGGCAGUUGCUGACACUGAGGCGCGACAGCGUGGGGAGCAAACAGG